rnacentral:rRNA from 1 species
GCCUAACACAUGCAAGUCGAGCGGUAGCACAGAGAGCUUGCUCUCGGGUGACGAGCGGCGGACGGGUGAGUAAUGUCUGGGAAACUGCCUGAUGGAGGGGGAUAACUACUGGAAACGGUAGCUAAUACCGCAUAACGUCGCAAGACCAAAGUGGGGGACCUUCGGGCCUCAUGCCAUCAGAUGUGCCCAGAUGGGAUUAGCUGGUAGGUGGGGUAACGGCUCACCUAGGCGACGAUCCCUAGCUGGUCUGAGAGGAUGACCAGCCACACUGGAACUGAGACACGGUCCAGACUCCUACGGGAGGCAGCAGUGGGGAAUAUUGCACAAUGGGCGCAAGCCUGAUGCAGCCAUGCCGCGUGUGUGAAGAAGGCCUUCGGGUUGUAAAGCACUUUCAGCGGGGAGGAAGGCGAUAAGGUUAAUAACCUUGUCGAUUGACGUUACCCGCAGAAGAAGCACCGGCUAACUCCGUGCCAGCAGCCGCGGUAAUACGGAGGGUGCAAGCGUUAAUCGGAAUUACUGGGCGUAAAGCGCACGCAGGCGGUCUGUCAAGUCGGAUGUGAAAUCCCCGGGCUCAACCUGGGAACUGCAUUCGAAACUGGCAGGCUAGAGUCUUGUAGAGGGGGGUAGAAUUCCAGGUGUAGCGGUGAAAUGCGUAGAGAUCUGGAGGAAUACCGGUGGCGAAGGCGGCCCCCUGGACAAAGACUGACGCUCAGGUGCGAAAGCGUGGGGAGCAAACAGGAUUAGAUACCCUGGUAGUCCACGCUGUAAACGAUGUCGAUUUGGAGGUUGUGCCCUUGAGGCGUGGCUUCCGGAGCUAACGCGUUAAAUCGACCGCCUGGGGAGUACGGCCGCAAGGUUAAAACUCAAAUGAAUUGACGGGGGCCCGCACAAGCGGUGGAGCAUGUGGUUUAAUUCGAUGCAACGCGAAGAACCUUACCUGGUCUUGACAUCCACAGAACUUUCCAGAGAUGGAUUGGUGCCUUCGGGAACUGUGAGACAGGUGCUGCAUGGCUGUCGUCAGCUCGUGUUGUGAAAUGUUGGGUUAAGUCCCGCAACGAGCGCAACCCUUAUCCUUUGUUGCCAGCGGUUAGGCCGGGAACUCAAAGGAGACUGCCAGUGAUAAACUGGAGGAAGGUGGGGAUGACGUCAAGUCAUCAUGGCCCUUACGACCAGGGCUACACACGUGCUACAAUGGCAUAUACAAAGAGAAGCGACCUCGCGAGAGCAAGCGGACCUCAUAAAGUAUGUCGUAGUCCGGAUUGGAGUCUGCAACUCGACUCCAUGAAGUCGGAAUCGCUAGUAAUCGUAGAUCAGAAUGCUACGGUGAAUACGUUCCCGGGCCUUGUACACACCGCCCGUCACACCAUGGGAGUGGGUUGCAAAAGAAGUAGGUAGCUUAACCUUCGGGAGGGCGCUUACCACU